UACGGGGGGGGCAAGCGUUGCUCGGAAUUACUGGGCGUAAAGGGCUCGUAGGCGGCCAACUCAGUCGGACGUGAAAUCCCUCGGCUUAACCGGGGAAUGGCGUCCGAUACUGGAUGGCUUGAGUUUGGGAGAGGGAUGCGGAAUUCCAGGUGUAGCGGUGAAAUGCGUAGAUAUCUGGAGGAACACCGGUGGCGAAGGCGGCAUCCUGGACCAACACUGACGCUGAGGAGCGAAAGCCAGGGGAGCAAACGGG
rnacentral:rRNA from 1 species